GCGUAUGUGGUCUAGUGGUAUGAUAGCUGCCUUCCAAGCAGUUGAACCGGGUUCGAUUCCCGGCAUACGCA
rfam:Dictyostelium discoideum AX4 chromosome 3, whole genome shotgun sequence.